rnacentral:rRNA from 1 species
GGAAUAUUGGACAAUGGGGGCAACCCUGAUCCAGCAAUGCCGCGUGUGUGAAGAAGGCCUUCGGGUUGUAAAGCACUUUUAUCAGGAAAGAAAUCCGGUGGGUUAAUACCCUGCCGGGAUGACGGUAACGGAGGAAUAAGAACCGGCUCACUUCGUGCCAGCAGCCGCGGUAAUACGAAGGGUGCAAGCGUUAAUCCAAAUUACUGGGCGUAAAGGGUGCGUAGGCGGCUGGCUAAGCCGGAUGUGAAAGCCCUGGGCUCAACCUGGGAAUGGCAUCCGGGACUGGUCGGCUGGAGUGCGGUAGAGGGUGGUGGAAUUCCCGGUGUAGCGGUGAAAUGCGUAGAGACCGGGAGGAACAUCGAUGGCGAAGGCAGCCACCUGGACCAGCACUGACGCUGAGGCACGAAAGCGUGGGGAGCAAAC